rnacentral:misc_RNA from 1 species
CACCAAAGGAUGCAGUACUAGAACU